rnacentral:rRNA from 1 species
UACGGAGGGUGCAAGUGUUAUCCGGAUUCACUGGGUUUAAAGGGUGCGUAGGUGGGCAGGUAAGUCAGUGGUGAAAUCUCCGGGCUUAACCCGGAAACUGCCAUUGAUACUAUCUGUCUUGAAUACCGUGGAGGUGAGCGGAAUAUGUCAUGUAGCGGUGAAAUGCUUAGAUAUGACAUAGAACACCAAUUGCGAAGGCAGCUCACUACGCGAAUAUUGACACUGAGGCACGAAAGCGUUGGGGAUCAAACAGG